GAAUCUGGAAGCCAGCCACCACAUGCCCUCAUGCCCAGGGUCUUCCUGCAGGUGGAGCUGAAGAGCCAAGAGGCUCAGAGUCUGCAGCAGCAGCCAGACCACUACCUGUGUACCGCUCUGGGAGCCCCAAUCCCACAUGAGCUGGGGUGUUGCUGACAAGCAGGGUGGUGAGUAGAGCCCUCAGGUGGGGUGGGCAGUCAGGAGCAGGGGAGGCUUGCACUGUGCUCAGAUUCCCACCCCCCUCCCUCUCCCUGAAGAUCUUUGUGAGGUGAGCCUCACUGAUAGCGUGGAGCCUGCACCAGGAGAGGAGAGGGAGGGUUCUCCCCAUGACAACCCCACUGCACAGCAGAUCCAGCAGCUGCUUUCUGUAAUGCAGGACUCCCCAGGCUUGGGUGGAGAAGCUGUUGGUACAGGAGAGGCGGCAGGAGGAGCAGGAGAGGCUGCAUGCCAUUGUUUUCGGGCUGCCAAGAACGGGAAGAGACGUCUUCUUCAAGAGCUGGUCAAGAAAUUUAAAAAAAACAAAAAACAAAAAAAAAACGGUUAAGGGGUUAAUCUCCUAUACAAUUCAUUUACUUCAUUUGAAAGUUAGAGCCACUUAUGUUUAUUUGUGUUUCUAAUUGAUAGUUUAAAUUUAUUUGUGUUUCUAAUUUAUAGUUUAAAUUUAUUUGUGUUUCUAAUUUAUAGUUUAAAUUUAUUUGUGUUUCUAAUUUAUAAUUUAAAUUUAUUUGUAAAAAUUAAAGGAGAGUGGGUCUUUCCCUCCUGUUCACUCUGGCAUCCUUUAGCAUUUUUUUAAUUUGAUAAUUAUAGGAUGUUAGCAUGCAUAUCGAGUUUGCCCUUAUGUGGUGGGAGUUCAAACACACAAAGACCCACUAUAUGCACACAACUGUUCUUGCUGGUUUGGGAUAGGCUGCCAUGCUUUUUUAAUGUUAGUGCAGCAUGUAUAUUCAUUACGGAAUUCAGAUAAAAUUUGCUUAUGUUCUGCUGUUAUGUUUGAUCGAAUCCUAAUCACAGUGAGCUCUUCAUUAGCUCAAUAUGUGGUUUGCCCUCAAGUGCACAGUUUAUUACUUUGUAAUAUGCCACUGUGAGUACUGACAUUUACAGCUGUUUAAAGGCAGAGCACUGGAAACAGCCUUUCCCCCUUUUUCUGUGUAUUGGGGAUGGGAGUAAUAACAUUUUGGGGAGCUUUUUAAAUCUCCCAGAAGAGGAAAGUGGCCUGCUCUGGCAGGUGUGUGCAGGAUAGAAUGUUUCAUUUGUUCCGGUGCCAAGAAUGAGCACUGUACUAUGGUAGUUCCCUUAGGAUUUGUAUGUGCUCUGGGCUCAUGAAGAUAUUGCAUCAUGAGCUGUGGCAGUUGUACUCUUUUUUGACGACCUAAAAAGGGAUUAUUUCUGAGGAGUGAAAGGCUCCCAUCAUGACUGUGGAUGUGGAAAACCUUUUCUAGCUGAGAGCAUUUAUAUCUACAUACAUUUUAAAGUCAGAGUUCAUGUUCCCUGUUUUAAUCACAUGACUACAUGUCCCAGUACAUAAAAGGGCACUGGCUGGCAUUCUUCUUAAUGUAUUUAGUAAAGAUCAGAAGAAAUCCUUUAAGAGUUUAAAUGUCCCUGGAACAGGCAUACAGGCUCUAGUCAAGAAUGAAUUCGAGUGAAGGAAAGGUGUGUGACACCUGGCAUUCCUCUAUGUUCAUGGAGCUUAUUUGAGGCUGGAAGAUGGAUUUUACCAUCUAGACCUCUCUGGCUAAUACCUAGUCUUCAACCAUCUGACAUAGGAAUUUACUUCUUUUCCUUGAAUGGAAAACACUUUAAAAAUAAUAAGAAACAUUAUUAUAAACUAAUAUAUGUGAGAGUACUUAGUUGAAACAAAAAGGAGUUUUAGUAGACAGUAGUAUACUACAUUUGAAAAUCAAGGAGACGUUUAUGCAACUUAAAAUGGUUACAAACUGCAGCGCAAUCUACUGUUUGUGAAUGUCAAAGUGUUAUGAGGAAAAGUGUCUAUACAAUCACAGAGUUAUAAUUCCGCACAAAGUUCUUUACGAAGAUUGAAAUAUGUUUUUAUACCUCUCGGUUUCAGUUAGAGGCGUAUUUUGUGUAACAUUUAUGGUUUAAAAUGGACUUAAGGUCCUGUUCUUGCCUUUUAUUUUCUGAACUUGCCACUUUUGCAUUAUUUGAGUUCAGUUUAAAGACAGUUAAUUUAAGUCCAUUUUAAACCCUCAGGCUAGAAAUCCUAUCACUGUUAAUUAGCCACAUUAUUUGGUCUAACAGUUUUUCUUUAUCAUUCUGAAACUGGGUUUACCUAAUACAUUGAUAAAUUAUUUCAAAGGUAUUUUUAUUGUUCAAAUCACUUCGCUUUUACCCUGACACAUAUAAGUGACCAGGAAUGACCUUCAGAUAGCGUUUAGCAUCUGUAACCAAUCUGACAAUAAUGUAUUCAUUGGGUACCUAUGGAUUAAAUCACAUACGGGCAUAUUUAAGCUCAAUGUCAGUCUGAAAAAUAAAUGUACUAUAUUAAUUCAAAUACCACUCUUUGUGUAGGUAUUUUGUCAUAUGUUUAAGAAAAAGCUAAAAAGAAUGGAAACCGUGUGACAAUAACUUAAGUCUUUCUUCAAAGUGCAUGCAGUCUUUUGCAAUACCUCAUUCAGCCAAGUAUUUGUUUUCUUCCUCAUUCAGUAUAAGGCAGCUUUCAAUUUGCUUAGAAGGCAACAUUAGAAGGUUAGAGUUCAUCAGAAACAGAUUUUUAAAAUGUGAGUUCAACUGAAUAAAUGUGAAUUUCUGCAGGAAGUAAAGAAUCAAAAUACCUAUCUAAAGACUGCAAUAUAUGAUGAUUAUUUUCAAAGUAUUUGGUUAAACCUAUAGGUUUUCUUGAAAUGAAAAAAAUCGGUUCUAAAACCAAAGCUAAUUUUUUGAAAAUGUGGAAAUGUAAAUCAGCCCUAUCCAUAAUAUAAUUUCUCUAAAACUUUAUCUUAGUCAUCUUAAAAUAACUAUUCAAAAAUGUAACUGCUAUCUUAAUGUUUUGAAAUAAGUCAAAACAUUUUAAAUAUGAAUACUGUAGUUUAAAAGAAAGAAACCAAGGGAAGGAAAAGUAGAGAAAGAAAUGCCAAUUCCAGUCCAAAGCUUUUUUUGCCAAGUUUUCUUAGAAUGACUUUUACCUAUUUAUGAAUUCUUACAAACAGAAUGUAUAAUGGAAAUACUGACUUUUGCCUAAAGUGGCAUUGUUGACUGCUGUGAUGUUACUGUAAUGUAAUGUAAUAAAUUAUUAAAUUGUUGCAAAGUGC